rnacentral:rRNA from 1 species
CAGCCGCCGCGGGAAUACGAAGGGUGCAAGCGUUAAUCGGAAUUACUGGGCGUAAAGCGUGCGUAGGUGGUGAGUUAAGUCUGCUGUGAAAUCCCCGGGCUCAACCUGGGAAUGGCAGUGGAUACUGGCUCGCUAGAGUGUGUCAGAGGAUGGUGGAAUUCCCGGUGUAGCGGUGAAAUGCGUAGAGAUCGGGAGGAACAUCAGUGGCGAAGGCGGCCAUCUGGGACAACACUGACGCUGAGGCACGAAAGCGUGGGGAGCAAACAGGAUUAGAUACCCCCGUAGUCCCUGUCUCUUAUAA